rnacentral:lncRNA from 1 species
UCGCAGGAGAGCCAGGGGGUUCCAUGCCCAAACCCUAGCCAGCAAAAAUCAAGCAAUUGAGAAGCCAAAUCGACUCCAAAUUGAAAUCUAAGCUUGGAUUAGUGAUCACUUCAGUGAAAGGAUCAUAAGUUUGUCGCCUAACGAGCUAGGUGGAGGCUUGGGAUAGAAGCGGUCAAACGAAUCAAGCACGAGAAGAAAAGCAUAUUCGGAUGCGAGGUACACUUUGGGAUGCCGGAAGACGAUCAAGCUCAACGAAGAACCGAACACACUAUAGAUACACGCUUCCGCACUUUGCUAUGUUGUAA